UACAGAGGGGGCAAGCGUUGUUCGGAAUUACUGGGCGUAAAGGGCGCGUAGGCGGCCUGCUAAGUCGAACGUGAAAUCCCCGGGCUCAACCCGGGAACUGCGUCCGAUACUGGCAGGCUUGAAUCCGGGAGAGGGAUGCGGAAUUCCAGGUGUAGCGGUGAAAUGCGCAGAUAUCAGGAGGAACACCGGUGGCGAAGGCGGUUCUCUGGGCAUUACCUGACGCUGAGGAGCGAAAGUGUGGGGAGCGAACAGG
rnacentral:rRNA from 1 species